rnacentral:sRNA from 1 species
GCUGGGCCUGGUGGCACAUGCCUGUAAUCCUAGCAACUUAGGAAGCUGAGGUGGGAGGAUCAUGAGUUCUAAGGCCAGCCUUAGUAACUUAUGGAGAUCUCCUCAC